GGAGUUCAGUGUUUCGUUUUGUUUAGUUUUGACCAGAGAGCUAUUUUUAAUAUAUAAUUGUAUGUUCUUUGAAAACUAGAUAACAGUGUAGCUCAUAUUUUUUAAUUUUUAGUUUGGUUAAGUUAGAAAGGGGGCACGGUGGAUGCCUUGACACUAGGAGUCGAUGAAGGACGGGACUAACGCCGAUAUGCUUCGGGGAGCUGUAAGUAAGCUUUGAUCCGAAGAUUUCCGAAUGGGGAAACCCACCAUACGUAAUGGUAUGGUAUCCUUAUCUGAAUACAUAGGGUAAGGAAGACAGACCCAGGGAACUGAAACAUCUAAGUACCUGGAGGAAGAGAAAGCAAAUGCGAUUUCCUGAGUAGCGGCGAGCGAAACGGAACAUAGCCCAAACCAAGAGGCUUGCCUCUUGGGGUUGUAGGACAUUCUAUACGGAGUUACAAAGGAACGAGGUAGACGAAGCGACCUGGAAAGGUCCGUCGUAGAGGGUAACAACCCCGUAGUCGAAACUUCGUUCUCUCUUGAAUGUAUCCUGAGUACGGCGGAACACGUGAAAUUCCGUCGGAAUCUGGGAGGACCAUCUCCCAAGGCUAAAUACUCCCUAGUGAUCGAUAGUGAACCAGUACCGUGAGGGAAAGGUGAAAAGCACCCCGGAAGGGGAGUGAAAGAGAUCCUGAAACCGUGUGCCUACAAAUAGUCAGAGCCCGUUAACGGGUGAUGGCGUGCCUUUUGUAGAAUGAACCGGCGAGUUACGAUCCCGUGCGAGGUUAAGCUGAAGAGGCGGAGCCGCAGCGAAAGCGAGUCUGAAUAGGGCGUUUAGUACGUGGUCGUAGACCCGAAACCAGGUGAUCUACCCAUGUCCAGGGUGAAGUUCAGGUAACACUGAAUGGAGGCCCGAACCCACGCACGUUGAAAAGUGCGGGGAUGAGGUGUGGGUAGCGGAGAAAUUCCAAUCGAACCUGGAGAUAGCUGGUUCUCCCCGAAAUAGCUUUAGGGCUAGCCUUAAGUGUAAGAGUCUUGGAGGUAGAGCACUGAUUGGACUAGGGGUCCUCAUCGGAUUACCGAAUUCAGUCAAACUCCGAAUGCCAAUGACUUAUCCUUAGGAGUCAGACUGCGAGUGAUAAGAUCCGUAGUCAAAAGGGAAACAGCCCAGACCGCCAGCUAAGGUCCCAAAGUGUGUAUUAA
rnacentral:sRNA from 2 species